UGGGGAAUAUUGGACAAUGGGCGCAAGCCUGAUCCAGCAAUGCCGCGUGUGUGAAGAAGGCCUUCGGGUUGUAAAGCACUUUUAUCAGGAGCGAAACGCUGUCGGCUAAUACCCGGCGGAACUGACGGUACCUGAGGAAUAAGCACCGGCUAACUUCGUGCCAGCAGCCGCGGUAAUACGAAGGGUGCAAGCGUUAAUCGGAAUUACUGGGCGUAAAGCGUGCGUAGGCGGUUUCUUAAGUCUGCUGUGAAAUCCCCGGGCUCAACCUGGGAAUGGCAGUGGAUACUGGGAGGCUAGAGUGUGUCAGAGGGUGGUGGAAUUCCCGGUGUAGCGGUGAAAUGCGUAGAGAUCGGGAGGAACAUCAGUGGCGAAGGCGGCCACCUGGGACAACACUGACGCUGAGGCACGAAAGCGUGGGGAGCAAACAGGAUUAGAUACCCUGGUAGUCCACGCCCUAAACGAUGCGAACUGGAUGUUGGUCUCAACUCGGAGAUCAGUGUCGAAGCUAACGCGUUAAGUUCGCCGCCUGGGGAGUACGGUCGCAAGAUUAAAACUCAAAUGAAUUGACGGGGUCAUAGCUGUUUCCUG
rnacentral:rRNA from 1 species